UGGUAUUCUCAGCACUCUUCUCUCGCAUCACAUCUCAAAUGGAUUGAUUUUCCCUCUUGCCGCUUUCUUCCCUGUCCAACAUCUGUACAUGGUAGUGGGGAAUCCUAUGGCUUGGAUGAUUAUGACUUUAGUGCUGAGUUGUAUAUCUUUACACUUUAGGAUCUUGUCUAGUUUUUUCAUGGCUGCCUUGUUUUCUUCUGAUUUUUUGAUUGCAGGCUCCGUUCUGAUGGAUGUUUGAUCUCAGGGAUGGGAACUCUUUGAUUAUUUCGGUUUCAUUAUCUACGUUGAAUUUUUCUUAGUUGACUUCAGUUGUCAUAAAGCAGUGUGUGAUGCCCCAUGUGGAAAUGGAUGAGGAUUUGUCAUCAUCGUCAGAUUCGGAAGGGUCUCUUAUCACAGACCGCGAGCUCCAGCAGGCAUUUUCUAAAGGCUCACUAAAACCAGGCUUAAAUGUUGUGCUAGAGGGACGACCAAAAGCUAUCAACAAUGUGGUGAGUGCUAUAUGACUCUGGAAUGAGACUGUAUGAAUAGUUCAGCUUCUUUUCCUAGUGAACCAUUUUGAUCAUAAAAGAGCUUUAACAUUUAUCAAGAAUAAAGUCAUUGCAAAUAAACUAUUGAGUUCAGUUUUUGCACUGAACUGGAGUGCUGUCUGUAAAAAUGUUGCUAUCUAUCUGGCUACGUAUAGCAAAACUAGUGCAAAAUAUUCUGUAGGAUAUAAAAAUAUGUUUAAAUUGUUUGUUUUUCCUCAAAGACAGGAAACUCUAUACACUGUCAUGGUUGAGGCAGAAGCAUCUUUGUGUUUAUAAAUGUUGCUUAUAUUUUAAAAAAAUGGUAUUCCCUUGAAUAGGAAACAGUAAACAUAUAGUGUCUAAUGUCUAGUAGGAAUCUGAUUAUCUGAGGGAACGUUUACAGUACAAGAUCUUGUUGGUAGAUUUAGGGAUGGGUGGGAAUUAUUCAGGGUCACAUAACUGUUUUGGUUCACGUGAUAGAACAGCCAUCUCCCAAUGUGCUGCUGAACUAUAAUCUCCAUCUAGCUUGCCCAGUGGCUGAGGAUUUUGGAGAGGGUUGUAGCUCAACAUGUGUUUAGGGCACUAGGAUGGAGAAGACUGUACUAAUCAGUGUAUGCAGGGUUCUAUGUAUGGCUCUUAUCCACACA